AGCAGCCGCGGUAAUUCCAGCUCCAAUAGCGUAUAUUAAAGUUGUUGCAGUUAAAAAGCUCGUAGUUGAAUUUCGGGGUCAGUAGGCUGGUCGUGCCACAGGUACGUACUGGUCUCACUGAUUCCUCCUUCCUGAAGAACCGUAAUGCCAUUAAUUUGGUGUUGCGGGGAAACAGGACUGUUACUUUGAAAAAUUAGAGUGUUUAAAGCAGGCUAACGCUUGAAUACAUUAGCAUGGAAUAAUGAAAUAGGACGAUCGAUCCUAUUUUGUUGGUUUCUAGGAUUGACGUAAUGAUUAAUAGGGAUAGUUGGGGGCAUUAGUAUUCAAUUGUCAGAGGUGAAAUUCUUGGAUUUAUUGAAGACUAACUACUGCGAAAGCAUUUGCCAAGGAUGUUUUCAUUAAUCAAGAACGAAAGUUAGGGGAUCGAAGACGAUCAGAUACCGUCGUAGUCUUAACCAUAAACUAUGCCGACUAGGGAUCGGAUGAUGUUAAUUUUAUAAUGACUCAUUCGGCGCCUUAA
rnacentral:rRNA from 1 species